rnacentral:rRNA from 1 species
GAUGAACGCUAGCGGCAGGCUUAAUACAUGCAAGUCGAGGGACAGCACAGGUAGCAAUACUGGGUGGUAACCGGCAAACGGGUGCGGAACACGUACACAACCUUCCUUUAAGUGGGGGAUAGCCCAGAGAAAUUUGGAUUAAUACCCCGUAAUAUAGUUGAAUGGCAUCAUUUGAUUAUUAUAGCUACGGCGCUUAAUGAUGGGUGUGCGGCUGAUUAGAUAGUUGGCGGGGUAACGGCCCACCAAGUCUACGAUCAGUAGCUGAUGUGAGAGCAGGAUCAGCCACACGGGCACUGAGACACGGGCCCGACUCCUACGGGAGGCAGCAGUAAGGAGUAUUGGUCAAUGGACGCAAGUCUGAACCAGCCAUGCCGCGUGAAGGAUUAAGGUCCUCUGGAUUGUAAACUUCUUUUAUUUGGGACGAAAAAGGGCCUUUCGAGGUCAACUGACGGUACCAGAUGAAUAAGCACCGGCUAACUCCGUGCCAGCCGCCGCAGUAACAC